rfam:Pythium ultimum DAOM BR144 ctg_1117875579313, whole genome shotgun sequence.
UCUCCUAUAGCUCAGUUGGUAGAGCGUGCGGCUGUUAACCUCAAGGUCGCCGGUUCGAACCCGGCUGGGAGAG